rnacentral:rRNA from 1 species
AUUGAACGCUGGCGGCCGGCCUAACACAUGCAAGUCGAACGAGUGGCGGACGGGUGAGUAAUGUCUGGGAAACUGCCUGAUGGAGGGGGAUAACUACUGGAAACGGUAGCUAAUACCGCAUACCAUCGGAUGUGCCCAGAUGGGAUUAGCUAGUAGGUGGGGUAACGGCUCACCUAGGCGAAGAGACCUAGCUGGUCUGAGAGGAUGACCAGCCACACUGGAACUGAGACACGGUCCAGACACCUACGGGAGGCGGCAGUGGAGAAAAGUGCACAAUGGGAGAAAGCCGGAUGCAGCAAUGCCGCGUGUAUGAAGAAGGCCUUCGGGUUGUAAAGUACUUUCAGCGGGGAGGCGUUACCCGCAGAAGAAGCACCGGCUAACUCCAUGCCAGCAGCCGCGGUAAUUC